AGCGAACGCUGGCGGCAGGCUUAACACAUGCAAGUCGAGCGGGCAUCCUCGUGGUGUCAGCGGCAGACGGGUGAGUAACGCGUGGGAAUCUGCCCAGUAGUACGGAAUAACCAUUGGAAACGAUGGCUAAUACCGUAUACGCCCUUCGGGGGAAAGUUUUUCGCUAUUGGAUGAGCCCGCGUAAGAUUAGGUAGUUGGUGGGGUAAUGGCCUACCAAGCCUACGAUCUUUAGCUGGUCUGAGAGGAUGAUCAGCCACACUGGAACUGAGACACGGUCCAGACUCCUACGGGAGGCAGCAGUGGGGAAUAUUGGACAAUGGGGGAAACCCUGAUCCAGCCAUGCCGCGUGAGUGAUGAAGGCCUUAGGGUUGUAAAGCUCUUUUGGCGGGGAAGAUAAUGACGGUACCCGCAGAAUAAGUUCCGGCUAACUUCGUGCCAGCCGCCGCAGUAA
rnacentral:rRNA from 1 species